UAUUUUAGUCUUUUUAGAGGAACCUGUUUUAUAAUCGAUACUCCACGAAGAAUUUUACUUAUUUUAUUAAUUUGUAUACCGUCAUUAUUAUAUAACUUUUAGAGAAAUAGAUAUUAAAAUUUAAUGUUUAAAGAAUAUUAGAUCAAGGUGCAGUUUAUAAAUAAGAAAAAAUGGGUUACAAUAAUAUUUAUUAUAUGAAUUAUAAUAUUAAAUUAUUAUAUGAAGGUGGAUUUAAUUGUAUAUUUUUUUUAAUAAGAAUUAUUUAUAUUGGCUCUAAAAUGU
rnacentral:rRNA from 1 species